rnacentral:rRNA from 1 species
AGAGUUUGAUCCUGGCUCAGGACGAACGCUGGCGGCGUGCUUAACACAUGCAAGUCGAACGGUGAACCCGCUUCGGUGGGGGAUCAGUGGCGAACGGGUGAGUAACACGUGGGCAACCUGCCCUCAGCUCUGGGAUAACUCCAAGAAAUUGGGGCUAAUACUGGAUAUGACCGCUGACCGCAUGGUCUGGUGGUGGAAAGAUUAUCGGCUGGGGAUGGGCCCGCGGCCUAUCAGCUUGUUGGUGGGGUAGUGGCCUACCAAGGCGACGACGGGUAGCCGGCCUGAGAGGGUGACCGGCCACACUGGGACUGAGACACGGCCCAGACUCCUACGGGAGGCAGCAGUGGGGAAUAUUGCGCAAUGGGCGAAAGCCUGACGCAGCGACGCCGCGUGGGGGAUGACGGCCUUCGGGUUGUAAACCUCUUUCAGCAGGGACGAAGCGAAAGUGACGGUACCUGCAGAAGAAGCACCGGCCAACUACGUGCCAGCAGCCGCGGUAAUACGUAGGGUGCAAGCGUUGUCCGGAAUUAUUGGGCGUAAAGAGCUCGUAGGCGGUUUGUUGCGUCGGCUGUGAAAACCUGAGGCUCAACCUCAGGCCUGCAGUCGAUACGAGCAGACUAGAGUGUUGCAGGGGAGACUGGAAUUCCUGGUGUAGCGGUGAAAUGCGCAGAUAUCAGGAGGAACACCGGUGGCGAAGGCGGGUCUCUGGGCAACAACUGACGCUGAGGAGCGAAAGCGUGGGGAGCGAACAGGAUUAGAUACCCUAGUAGUCC